GUGAGGAAUAUUGGGCAAUGGGCGAAAGCCUGACCCAGCAACGCCGCGUGGAGGAUGAAGGCUUUAGGGUUGUAAACUCCUUUUGUGGGGGAAAAGAAUGGAUGGUACCCCAAGAAUAAGUCACGGCUAACUACGUGCCAGCAGCCGCGGUAAUACGUAGGUGACAAGCGUUAUCCGGAAUUACUGGGCGUAAAGCGCACGCAGGCGGUCAGAUAAGUCUGAUGUGAAACCUUCUGGCUUAACCAGAAGACGUCGUUGGAUACUGUUUGACUUGAGGCGAUGAGAGGAAUGCGGAAUCCCCGGUGUAAUGGUGGAAUAUGUAGAUAUCGGGGGGAACAUCUGAGGCGAAAGCGGCAUUCUGGCAUUAGCCUGACGCUCAUGUGCGAAAGCGUGGGGAGCAAACGGGAUUAGAAACCCCAGUAGUCC
rnacentral:rRNA from 1 species